GCCGUCAUCGUAUAGGGGUCAGUACAUCAGUUUGUGGCACUGAAAACGCAAGUUCGAGUCUUGCUGACGGCA
rnacentral:tRNA from 22 species